UUUUCUGCUACUUCUUACGUAACUUUUUACAGAGGGGCAGUGGCAACAUGCAAUGACCAUGGAUUUAAACAAAAUAAAGAACAAUUUAGUGAAAAGUGUCGCAACUGGCGAGGAUGUCAAGUUGGAAAGCUUUUGGGAGAAGCAGACCUGUGUGAUCCUUUUCAUGAGAAGGUUUGGAUGACCCACCUGUCGCCUCCACAUCAAGGAGGUUUCCACAAUUCAUCCACGCCUUGAGGCCAACAACAUUCGCUUUGUUGGAAUCGGUGUGGAAGAGCUUGGAGUAGAAGACUUUGUCAAGGGGGGAUUUUUUCCUGGAGAGCUGUAUAUUGACACCAAAAAACAGUGCUACAAAGACCUGGGCUUCAAGAGAUUGAACAUUUUUUCGGGAAUUGGAGCCAUCUUUGCAAAGACAACAAGAGAUGGUCUAGCCAAGGCAAAGGAGCAGAACAUUGAUGGGAAUAUGAAGGGUGACGGGUUUCAGAAUGGCGGCGCGCUAGUUGUAAAAGCCGGUGGAAAAGAAGUAAUUUACAGUUAUAAACAAGAAGACCCUGGCCUGUAUGUCCAGCCUAAUGAUAUUCUGAAGGCCCUUGGGCUGGAAGAGACAAAGGAGGCACCCAAAGUGGAGGAGGCCUCAGGGGGAGGAUGAUCAUAAUGAAAGUCUGUGUUGAGCCCCCCUUAAUGGGGAAAUCCAAAGGGAGGUUCCACAGGCAUCAUUUAUAGACACCAUCUGAAAGCUUCAUUGUUGUAAAUUUCUGUGAUUCAUAAUCAGAUAUUGGAAAUUCUGAAUGUCAUCAUUAUGAAAUGCACUGAAAUGGUUGGAUUUUCCACUUUCAUUCUUUAAGUUUCAGAUACAUUGUGCAUCUUGACAUAAUUAUGAGUGUCGUUAUUUUUUCAUUGUUCAAUGUUCUUAAAACCAAGUCCCAUGAACUAGCCUAAUUUCUUUUAAAGAAUAUGCAUGACAUGUUGUUUUGUUUAAAUGAAAUUUUUCCCAUUUAAAAAUCUUAUUUUUCUGUUGUGUUGUAAAAGGAGGUGGUUAAGUAUGGUUUUUAAUACCUUGCAUUUGUUGUGCUUUUAACUCCCAGUAUGUUCGAAAAAUUUGUAACUUCACAGGUUUUCUAUCUAUUAAGAAGGCUCGAUGUUCGUGGCCAUUUUAAGACUUUAUUGGACUCCUUUAGAAGAAGAGCUCAAUAUGAAAAUAUAGGAGAAUAUUAAAAUUUGAAUGAGAAAAUAUAUGAGUUUUUCUUCAUUAAAUAAUGGUUAAUAGCUUAAGAAAUCAUAUCUUAAGAUUUUUAGGUAUAUCUGAUGGUUAGUUUUGUUGAACAUCCAGCCUUCUUAAAAUCAGUGAAACAGAAAGUGAAACUUGUGGACCAGACAAUGACUUUACAGUGUUAUUUGUACACGUGUUUGUCAGUUACAUUGAUGGUGCGUGUGAAGAGAAGGACUUAGGGCCGGAUGUUAAAUGAAGUCAUUAUCCGCUAACCAUGUCAAUGGGGGAUAACGAUGGAGGGGAAAUAUCCGUCCAUAAGAACUCCUCUUCUCACCACUUCAAAUUUCAUUCAGAGAAAUGCCUUACGAUUGAAGAUGCAAUCCCUUUUUUCAUACUUAUAUAUAUAUAUCAGAAAUUUAUGUUAUACAUUAAUUAGAUAGAUUUUACUCAUAGCCUUUAUAUAUAUAAGCUUCAGGUAAAUGUUUUUAAUAUUAUAUAAUGCCAUAUAUAUAUACUUGCAUGAUAAUUAUGCAUUCUUGUCCGAAUAUACUCUUGAUGCAAUUUAUUGUUUGAAGAUAUGUUUUUUCCAAGAAAUAUCGAAUCAUUUUAAUCUUCUCUCAGGGGUCUUUGUGUAAACGUGAAUUUUGAUAGCAAAACUUCUGAACGCAUGAAGUCAUAAUUAUGAAAUUUUAUGAACAAAAGAAUUAUGAUGGAAGGAUAUCAGAAUUUGAUGUCAAAAUUCACUGUUCUUAAUUAUAUUCGAUUUUAAAAAGAUCAAAUGUUAAUCUAGCUUAGUCCUACAAUAUCAUUUAAAAUCAAAUGCUAUCUAUGGAAAAAAAUAAAAUAUUAAAAU
rnacentral:misc_RNA from 1 species